UUCUUGGUCAUUUAGAGGAAGUAAAAGUCGUAACAAGGUUUCCGUAGGUGAACCUGCGGAAGGAUCAUUAAAGAAAUUUAACAAUUUUGAAAAUGGAUUUUUUUUUUUUUGUUUUGGCAAGAGCAUGAGAGCUUUUACUGGGCAAGAAGACAAGAGAUGGAGAGUCCAGCCGGGCCUGCGCUUAAGUGCGCGGUCUUGCUAGGCUUGUAAGUUUCUUUCUUGCUAUUCCAAACGGUGAGAGAUUUCUGUGCUUUUGUUAUAGGACAAUUAAAACCGUUUCAAUACAACACACUGUGGAGUUUUCAUAUCUUUGCAACUUUUUCUUUGGGCAUUCGAGCAAUCGGGGCCCAGAGGUAACAAACACAAACAAUUUUAUCUAUUCAUUAAAUUUUUGUCAAAAACAAGAAUUUUCGUAACUGGAAAUUUUAAAAUAUUAAAAACUUUCAGCAACGGAUCUCUUGGUUCUCGCAUCGAUGAAGAACGCAGCGAAAUGCGAUACGUAAUGUGAAUUGCAGAAUUCCGUGAAUCAUCGAAUCUUUGAACGCACAUUGCGCCCCUUGGUAUUCCAGGGGGCAUGCCUGUUUGAGCGUCAUUUCCUUCUCAAACAUUCUGUUUGGUAGUGAGUGAUACUCUUUGGAGUUAACUUGAAAUUGCUGGCCUUUUCAUUGGAUGUUUUUUUUCCAAAGAGAGGUUUCUCUGCGUGCUUGAGGUAUAAUGCAAGUACGGUCGUUUUAGGUUUUACCAACUGCGGCUAAUCUUUUUUUAUACUGAGCGUAUUGGAACGUUAUCGAUAAGAAGAGAGCGUCUAGGCGAACAAUGUUCUUAAAGUUUGACCUCAAAUCAGGUAGGAGUACCCGCUGAACUUAAGCAUAUCAAUAAGCGGAGGAA
rnacentral:rRNA from 1 species